rnacentral:rRNA from 1 species
CCCUUAGAUGUUCUGGGCCGCACGCGCGCUACACUGACGAAUGCAACGAGCUUAUAACCUUGGCCGAAAGGUCUGGGUAAUCUCCAAAUUUCGUCGUGAUGGGGAUAGAUUAUUGCAAUUAUUGCUCUUCAACGAGGAAUUCCUAGUAAGCGCAAGUCAGCAGCUUGCGCUGAUUACGUCCCUGCCCUUUGUACACACCGCCCGUCGCUCCUACCGAUUGGGUGAUCCGGUGAAUGACUCGGACUUUGACGUUCCUAGACACUAGGUUCGUCGAGGGAAGUUUUGUGAACCUUAUCACUUGGAGGAAGGAGAAGUCGUAACA